AUGACCUCCUCGGCUCCUCCCGUGCAUUCCCAGUCACUGCGGGUUUCCAUGUGCAGUAGUGUUGCUGCUAUUUUCUCCUUGCAUAGUGCUCUCGAAAUUUGCUUCUAUUUCGCGGUGCCAGCUAGUAGAGCAAUGGAGCAGCAUCCUCACAGUGUGCCUUUGCCCAGGAGAAUGUGGUCGCAGUCAGGGCUGAAUUCCAUUUCAUUCCCCGUCUCUCUCUCUCUUUCUCUUAAAUUCAUCAAAUUCAUGUGUUACUACUAUUUUGAUGCUAAAAACAGAUGCAUGUUCUUGCUUGGUCGUCCCUUGCCGGGUGGUCGGCUGCCAACCUCCAUGUGUACGAGUGGUGCUGCUACUUUCUCCAGCCAUUGCACCAGUGGUCUGUGUAGAGAGAAGGAGACGUGCAUUUUGUGUGUAUGA
rnacentral:rRNA from 1 species